AAAGCUUUAGGUUAAAAUAAAACUUUAUGUCUUCAAAACAUAAGAUUUUGAGCUUUU
rnacentral:tRNA from 1 species